AUCGCUUCUUGGCCUUUUGGCUAAGAUCAAGUGUAGUAUCUGUUCUUAUCAGUUUAAUAUAAGAUUUUAUUUGUGUAUAUAUGUCUUGAAUUUUG
rnacentral:snRNA from 1 species